rnacentral:rRNA from 1 species
CUUUCGGGGAAUUAUUAAACUGGCGAACGGGUGAGUAACGCGUAGAUAAUCUGCCCCUAUCACUGACAUAACGCUGAGAAAUCGGUGCUAAUAUCAGAUGAGGUGCUUCGGCAUCAAAGUUUUCGAACGGAUAGGGAUGAGUCUGCGUCUGAUUAGCUUGUUGGUGAGGUAACGGCUCACCAAGGCUGCGAUCAGUAACUGGUCUGAGAGGACGAUCAGUCACACUGGAACUGAGACACGGUCCAGACUCC